ACUGAAGGGUGUGUGUGUGUGUGUGUGUGUGUGUGUGUGCGUGCAUCAGCUUUGAAGAGAAAGAGGAAAUGGCACCGAACAUGACAAAAAUUCCAGGAAGUUCCAUGAUGCCCGACGCUGAUCUGAAAAGAUCUGGCUGUGGGUCCUACCAGGAAAAAAACGGCCUAUGUUGGAGAUACCCAGCUGCAUGUAGUCAAAUGGUUUGACAACAGGCCGGUCACCCUUCUCAGUAGCAACGUAGGUGCUCACUCUGUAUCCCACAUUGAAAGAUGGGACAGAGGCCAGAAGAAAACCAUCAAGGUCCCAUGCCCUGCAGCAGUAUCCACAUACAAUCAGCACAUGGGAGGUGUUGACUUGUUGGAUUCCCUGAUUGCUUUAUAUCGUACCAACAUAUGUUCAAAGAAAUGGUACCACCACCAAUGUUUUUCAUGUCAUAGAUAUGAC
ensembl:lncRNA